CCAUCGGCCCUUUUCAGGGCCAUCAAAUUAGUGGAAGUUUAUAUAU
rfam:Aedes aegypti strain Liverpool supercont1.977 genomic scaffold, whole genome shotgun sequence.